CUCGCACAAGCACUGAAAAAGGAGGAAGCAAUAUAAUCCGAAGGCAAAAUGAGCUUUCCAUGACUUUAUCCCCUGAACGAGAACAAAUAGACCUUUGUCCAGUGCAAAACACGCUGGAUGAAACAAAAAAUUCAGAGAAAUUGGAAUGGACACAUCCUAACCCAGAGGUUUAAUUUCCUAUAGUGCGUACUGAACCCAAGUGCAACAAAUCGAAGAGCUAAAACCGCCAGGCUGGAUCGUACGCGACUGACUAUUCAAAGGCAGAGAGGCGACGAGAGAUUAUUUAUCUUUCUUCUUCGGAGGAUGUGAAUAUUUCUAUCCAGGCACAUCCUUGUUGUGCUUGGCACUUGAACAGGUUUGCAAACCUUGGCUGUUACUGCUGAUGAAGGUGGCUGAAAUCUGUGGUGAAAAAGGAGCUUACAGUCAUUUCUCACUGCCAUGAAGUCUGUGAUUGGCAGCCCAGUGGACAUUCAAAUAUGUUCCGUGGAUAAAUUUCUUCUCUGGAGAAGCCAAUCACCAAGUGAGAGAGCCUGCUUCAGUUCAGUUUGCCUUGUUAUUGGAAGAAACAGGGAAUAACAGCCAGGAAGAAAUGAAAGCAGUAGUUGGUGAUUUAUGAUUUGGAAUGACGAGACCAUCUUUUCUCAAGAACAGAAACACUUUGUGUUAUCAGAACGAUGGACAAAAGAUUGGUUCCAAAGCAUGGAUAAAGACAAUUGGAUUUUCCAGUUCAGAUGAAUCUGGGAGAAAUGAAACCUCGGCUCCUCUGGGCACAUUUCCCUGGUGUGAGGUUGGAAAUCCCAAUCCUUACGGGAAGGAGACUGUGAGGACUAUAAACGAUUGACCCUCCAGCUGGACCUCGUCAGAAGAGGGUCUAGCAAUCAGAGCGUGCUUAAUGCGUGACAUUCAUGAUGAAGAGGACGAUGACUUCAAAGUGUGGGAUGUGCUGAUCGAUCAUAUAUCCCAAUUCAACUUUCCUUCAAACGUGUCCUGCACCUUCUCCUUGGAAUGCAUAUAAUGCAAAUGCUGUCUCUUUAAUUUCCUUUCGGUCCUACUGCCAUUGAUGGCUCCGGCAUUGUUUCACUGUCACAUUUUAAUAACAGUGUUUUAUUGUUGAAUUUCACUUGCGAGUUUCUGUCUAUUUUUGACUUGUACACAUGGGUCUACGAUUAACUUUCAAUCUGCUGCAUGACAUAAAAGAUAUUACUGCCUUAGUCUUGUGCUCCAAAGAGUGUCCAAGCACAUUACCCCUUGAGGCUCGUGUUCUGAUGACAUACUUAGAAGUAGAUUGCGGGUAUUUUGGCAGGUUGACUCAUUUAGCCCUGUUAAAAGAACA
rnacentral:lncRNA from 1 species